rnacentral:rRNA from 1 species
CCUUCGGGGUGCUCGAGUGGCGAACGGGUGAGUAACACGUGGGUGAUCUGCCCUGCACUUUGGGAUAAGCCUGGGAAACUGGGUCUAAUACCGGAUAGGACCACGGUCUGCAUGGAUUGUGGUGGAAAGCUUUUGCGGUGUGGGAUGGGCCCGCGGCCUAUCAGCUUGUUGGUGGGGUGAUGGCCUACCAAGGCGACGACGGGUAGCCGGCCUGAGAGGGUGACCGGCCACACUGGGACUGAGAUACGGCCCAGACUCCUACGGGAGGCAGCAGUGGGGAAUAUUGCACAAUGGGCGCAAGCCUGAUGCAGCGACGCCGCGUGAGGGAUGACGGCCUUCGGGUUGUAAACCUCUUUCAGCACAGACGAAGCGCAAGUGACGGUAUGUGCAGAAGAAGGACCGGCCAACUACGUGCCAGCAGCCGCGGUAAUACGUAGGGUCCGAGCGUUGUCCGGAAUUACUGGGCGUAAAGAGCUCGUAGGUGGUUUGUCGCGUUGUUCGUGAAAACUCACAGCUUAACUGUGGGCGUGCGGGCGAUACGGGCAGACUGGAGUACUGCAGGGGAGACUGGAAUUCCUGGUGUAGCGGUGGAAUGCGCAGAUAUCAGGAGGAACACCGGUGGCGAAGGCGGGUCUCUGGGCAGUAACUGACGCUGAGGAGCGAAAGCGUGGGGAGCGAACAGGAUUAGAUACCCUGGUAGUCCACGCCGUAAACGGUGGGUACUAGGGUGUGGGUUUCCUUCCUUGGGAUCCGUGCCGUAGCUAACGCAUUAAGUACCCCGCCUGGGGAGUACGGCCGCAAGGCUAAAACUCAAAGGAAUUGACGGGGGCCCGCACAAGCGGCGGAGCAUGUGGAUUAAUUCGAUGCAACGCGAAGAACCUUACCUGGGUUUGACAUGCACAGGACGCCGGCAGAGAUGUCGGUUCCCUUGUGGCCUGUGUGCAGGUGGUGCAUGGCUGUCGUCAGCUCGUGUCGUGAGAUGUUGGGUUAAGUCCCGCAACGAGCGCAACCCUUGUCUCAUGUUGCCAGCACGUGAUGGUGGGGACUCGUGAGAGACUGCCGGGGUCAACUCGGAGGAAGGUGGGGAUGACGUCAAGUCAUCAUGCCCCUUAUGUCCAGGGCUUCACACAUGCUACAAUGGCCGGUACAAAGGGCUGCGAUGCCGUGAGGUGGAGCGAAUCCUUUCAAAGCCGGUCUCAGUUCGGAUCGGGGUCUGCAACUCGACCCCGUGAAGUCGGAGUCGCUAGUAAUCGCAGAUCAGCAACGCUGCGGUGAAUACGUUCCCGGGCCUUGUACACACCGCCCGUCACGUCAUGAAAGUCGGUAACACCCGAAGCCGGUGGCCUAACCCCUUG